GCGGUCGUCGUCUAGCCUGGUCUAGGAUAUCGGCUUUCCAAGCCGGCGACGCGGGUUCGAAUCCCGCCGACCGCACCA
rnacentral:tRNA from 1 species